rnacentral:rRNA from 1 species
ACGGGGUGCAGCAGGCGCGAAACCUCCCUCAAUGCACACACGUGCGAAGGGGUUACCUCGAGUGCUAUCUGAUGAAGGUAGCUUUUACUUUGUUUAACAAGCAUUUUGAAUAAGAGGGGGGCAAGACUGGUGUCAGCCGCCGCGGUAACACCAGCCCCUCGAGUGGUGGGGAUGAUUAUUUGGCCUAAAGCGUCCGUAGCUGGCCAUGUAAGUCUCCCGUUAAAUCCAGCGUCUCAAGCGUUGGACUGCGGGAGAUACUGCAUGGAUAGAGGGUGGGAGAGGUCAGCGGUAUUCUGGGGGUAGGGGCGAAAUCCUUUGAUCCCUAGAGGACCACCAGUGGCGAAGGCUGCUGACUAGAACACGCCUGACGGUCAGGGACGAAAGCUGGGGUAGCGAACCGGAUUAGAUACCCGGGUAGUCCCAGCCGUAAACGAUGCAUGCUAGGUGUUGAGAUGGCCAUGAGCCGCCCUCAGUGCCGCAGGGAAGCCCGUUAAGCAUGCCGCCUGGG